AAUGAGCUCUGGAAAAGCACUACAGUCAGUGUCUCCUCACAACAAUCAACCGCCGCCGACACCAAGCCUGGCGAAAAGAAAGAAGAUUCAAGAGAAGUAUGCAAUAAGGAGUCCAACAGACAGUGUGAUGUCCCCAUGUACAAGACAGCUCAUGAAGAAAGCUAUCAAGGACAUACCGUCAUCUCCCAGACGGGAAGCGAAAGAGAACACUGCAAAUAAAUGAAUGACCUUUUUAUGUACAGUGAUGUGUUUGCGGUAUUCCUCUCUCUGCUCAGAUGGUCAGAUAAAUCAAUCAUUGACACUUUCCUGACAUUAUACCGUCUUUUUAAGAUGUUCCUACUAACCAAGCUGCUCACACUUUAUUGAUCCAUUAUGCAAUAUGGUGUAUAUGGGGGUUGGGGUUAUAUUCUUCAUUUAUA